rfam:Pan troglodytes isolate Yerkes chimp pedigree #C0471 (Clint) chromosome 13, whole genome shotgun sequence.
GCCGGGUGUGGUGGCUCACGCCUGUAAUCCCAGCACUAUGGGAGGCCUGAGGCGGGUGGAUCACCUGAGGCCAGGAGUUCAAGACCAGCCUGGCCAACAUGGUGAAACCCUGUCUCUA